CAGUAGCCACGGUAAUACGUAGGGGGCAAGCGUUGUCCGGAAUUAUUGGGCGUAAAGCGCGCGCAGGCGGUUUUUAAAGUCUGGUGUCUAAGUGCGGGGCUCAACCCCGUGACGCACUGGAAACUGGGAGACUUGAGUGCAGAAGAGGAGAGCGGAAUUCCACGUGUAGCGGUGAAAUGCGUAGAGAUGUGGAGGAACACCAGUGGCGAAGGCGGCUCUCUGGACUGUAACUGACGCUGAGGCGCGAAAGCGUGGGGAGCAAACAGGAUUAGAGACCCCAGUAGUCCCUGUCUCUUAUACA
rnacentral:rRNA from 1 species